rnacentral:rRNA from 1 species
UGUGAGAUAACUCUGGUUAAGGAACUCGGCAAAAUGCCUCCGUAACUUCGGGAGAAGGAGGACCUCGUUAGGGUGAUGGCACUUGCUGCCGGAGCUCGAAGAGGUGGCACAAAAUUGUGGGAAGCGACUGUUUACUAAAAACACAGCAGCGUGCGAAGCCGUAAGGCGCUGUAUACGCUGUGACGCCUGCCCGGUGCUGGAAGGUUACGGGGAAGGGUUAGCCCUCGGGCGAAGCUCUGAACCUAAGCCCCAGUAAACGGCGGCCGUAACUAUAACGGUCCUAAGGUAGCGAAAUUCCUUGUCGGGUAAGUUCCGACCUGCACGAAUGGCGUAACGACUUCCCAACUGUCUCAACCAGAGACUCAGCGAAAUUGAAGUACGAGUAAAGAUGCUCGUUAGCUGCAGAAGGACGGAGAGACCCCGUGGACCUUUACUAUAACUUGAUGUUGGGGUUUGUCAUGCGUUGUGUAGGAUAGGUGGGAGACUAGGAAGCAUUGGCGCCAGCUAGUGUGGAGUCAUCCUUGAAAUACCACCCUGCGUAUGGCGAGCCUCUAACCCAGACCCGUUAUCCGGGUCGGGAACAGCGUCAGGCGGGUAGUUUGACUGGGGCGGUCGCCUCCUAAAAUGUAACGGAGGCGCCCAAAGGUUCCCUCAGCCUGGUUGGCAAUCAGGCGUCGAGUGCAAUGGCAAAAGGGAGCUUGACUGCGAGACUGACAGGUCGAGCAGGAGCGAAAGCUGGGCAUAGUGAUCCGGCGGUUGCGUGUGGAAGCGCCGUCGCUCAACGGAUAAAAGGUACCCCGGGGAUAACAGGCUAAUCUUCCCCAAGAGUCUAUAUCGACGGGAAGGUUUGGCACCUCGAUGUCGGCUCAUCGCAUCCUGGGGCUGAAGCAGGUCCCAAGGGUUGGGCUGUUCGCCCAUUAAAGCGGUACGCGAGCUGGGUUUAGAACGUCGUGAGACAGUUCGGUCCCUAUCCUCUGUAGCCGCAGGUAGAUUGAGGAAAGCUAUCCCUAGUACGAGAGGACCGGGAUGGACGUAGCUCUCGUGUGCCAGUUGUCCUGCCAAGGGCAUGGCUGGUUAGCGACCUACGGACGAGAUAACCGCUGAAAGCAUCUAAGCGGGAAGCUUCUUCCAAGAUGAAUCUACCCACAGGGUUAACCUGGUAAGGCCCGUGGCAUACCACCACGUUGAUAGGCCGGAAGCGUAAGCGCAGUAAUGCGUUCAGCUGACCGGUACUAAUCGGCCGAGGGCUUGGGUU